CCCUUAGAUGUUCUGGGCUGCACGCGCGCUACACUGAUGCGCUCAACGAGUUUGUGUCCUUGCCUGGCAAGGUCGGGUAAUCUGUUCAAAACGCAUCGUGAUGGGGAUAGAUUAUUGCAAUUAUUAAUCUUCAACGAGGAAUUCCUAGUAAGCGCGAGUCAUCAGCUCGUGCUGAUUACGUCCCUGCCCUUUGUACACACCGCCCGUCGCUCCUACCGAUUUCGAGUGGUUCGGUGAACCUUUCGGACCGGCAAUGCCUCGUGUUGCGCCGGAAAGUCAAGUAAACCAUAUCACUUAGAGGAAGGAGAAGUCGUAACA
rnacentral:rRNA from 1 species